rnacentral:rRNA from 1 species
GAUGAACGCUGGCGGCGUGCCUAAUACAUGCAAGUCGAGCGAACGGACGAGAAGCUUGCUUUUCUGAUGUUAGCGGCGGACGGGUGAGUAACACGUGGAUAACCUACCUAUAAGACUGGGAUAACUUCGGGAAACCGGAGCUAAUACCGGAUAAUAUUUUGAACCGCAUGGUUCAAAAGUGAAAGACGGUCUUGCUGUCACUUAUAGAUGGAUCCGCGCUGCAUUAGCUAGUUGGUAAGGUAACGGCUUACCAAGGCAACGAUGCAUAGCCGACCUGAGAGGGUGAUCGGCCACACUGGAACUGAGACACGGUCCAGACUCCUACGGGAGGCAGCAGUAGGGAAUCUUCCGCAAUGGGCGAAAGCCUGACGGAGCUACGCCGCGUGAGUGAUGAAGGUCUUCGGAUCGUAAAACUCUGUUAUUAGGGAAGAACAUAUGUGUAAGUAACUGUGCACAUCUUGACGGUACCUAAUCAGAAAGCCACGGCUAACUACGUG